rnacentral:lncRNA from 1 species
CUGAAACUCAGCGGCUGACCCACCUGUAGUUUCGACAGGAGAGAUAUGGUGAUAAUAGUGUCAUGGACUGGGCUGUUAAGUCAGAUAUUUAUGUUUAGAUAAGGGAAGACAAAGGACAAAAAUGGCUAAAUAUUUUGUAAAAUGGCUAUAUGUACAUUUGCACAGCAGCUUCGGGCGUCCGCAUUGCUUUGAGGCUAAUUUGCUAGUUAAAGCAGGAGGUUUCCUGAACAUUAGGAAGCCAAAUAAAGAUGGUCAAGCCUUUAGGGGUUUAUUGAUUUCACUGUGUUACACAGUAACCGAUAAGGUCAAAGUGAGCUGAGCUUAAUCUCAUCAAGGACAAGAGCUACGUUAUCUCAAAAAACAGGUAGUAGGAUGUACCGAUGACUAGAUUACUAACGGAGACUGCCCAUACAUUUAGAAUAUAGGCCAAACCACCGAUAUGUAACAGGAACCCACUGUUUUAGUCUUGUGACGUUGAACACUUGGAUUGUUACAAUGUAUAGAAAUGCUUCCGUCUACAGAGGCCUUCCAUUCAUUCAGAAGGGGACUGCAACUCUGGGACUUUGUAAAUGGUGGCUGCAGAAAUCUGGGUUAUUAAAAUGGGCCUGCAGGAUGAACCUACAUCCUCUUAAAACAGGAACACUAUAAAUAUGUAAAUGUGUUCUAGCUGUGACCAAUCGAGUAUUUCACGAUUAUUUCUCCGAAGCCCGGAGUUUACUUGUGUCUGCCACUUGGGGGAGCUAUUUUCCCACCAGUCCUGCAGUCGGACUACACCAAGAAGGAACUCAAAAGUUUUAGCUUUGGUACAACAAAAUUUAGAAUCUGCUGGGCAGCUACUGCACCGAGACAGUCAGACUGGAUGUCUGACAUAGCUGUUGUUACUGCUGCUAUUCACUGGAGGAAAUGGAGUUGACUGGGCUGUCGUUCACCUGUUGAUUUGCUGUGAGAGGUCAACAUGUCGGCCAUGUUGGAGUUCGCUCUGAGAUAUUUCAUGCCAGAGAACAUGCUAUUGACACCCCAAAACUUACCUUCUUCAGGAGCAGACAAGCAGGACGUUCAACUGUUGAAGGCCAGGGAGAGGAAAAAGGCCAUAGACAUUCUUCAACUCAAGAAUUCUGUGUCAGAACAUUUUUUCAUCAUUUUUCCCAGUUAUUUUCUCUCUUUACUGUCACAUGUAGGAAUUCAACUUGUUAGAUAA